UACAGAGGUCUCAAGCGUUGUUCGGAUUCAUUGGGCGUAAAGGGUGCGUAGGCGGCGCGGUAAGUCGGGUGUGAAAUCUCGGAGCUUAACUCCGAAACUGCAUUCGAUACUGCCGUGCUUGAGGACUGGAGAGGAGACUGGAAUUUACGGUGUAGCGGUGAAAUGCGUAGAUAUCAAGAGGAACACCUGAGGCGAAGGCGGGUUGCUAGGCUGACACUGACGCUGAGUGCGCGAAAGCCAGGGGAGCAAACGGG
rnacentral:rRNA from 1 species